rnacentral:rRNA from 1 species
UACGUAGGGUCCGAGCGUUGUCCGGAAUUAUUGGGCGUAAAGAGCUCGUAGGCGGUUCGUCGCGUCGGCUGUGAAAUCCCGAGGCUCAACCUCGGGUCUGCAGUCGAUACGGGCGGACUGGAGUUCGGCAGGGGAGACUGGAAUUCCUGGUGUAGCGGUGAAAUGCGCAGAUAUCAGGAGGAACACCGGUGGCGAAGGCGGGUCUCUGGGCCGAUACUGACGCUGAGGAGCGAAAGCGUGGGGAGCGAACAGGA